UCGAACGGUAGCACAGGGGAGCUUGCUCCCCGGGUGACGAGUGGCGGACGGGUGAGUAAUGUCUGGGGAUCUGCCCGAUGGAGGGGGAUAACUACUGGAUACGGUAGCUAAUACCGCAUAACCUCGAAAGAGCAAAGUGGGGGACCUUCGGGCCUCACACCAUCGGAUGAACCCAGAUGGGAUUAGCUAGUAGGUGGGGUAACGGCUCACCUAGGCGACGAUCCCUAGCUGGUCUGAGAGGAUGACCAGCCACACUGGAACUGAGACACGGUCCAGACUCCUACGGGAGGCAGCAGUGGGGAAUAUUGCACAAUGGGCGCAAGCCUGAUGCAGCCAUGCCGCGUGUAUGAAGAAGGCCUUCGGGUUGUAAAGUACUUUCAGCGGGGAGGAAGGGAUGAAGGUUAAUAACCUUCGUCAUUGACGUUACCCGCAGAAGAAGCACCGGCUAACUCCGUGCCAGCAGCCGCGGUAAUACGGAGGGUGCAAGCGUUAAUCGGAAUUACUGGGCGUAAAGCGCACGCAGGCGGUUUGUUAAGUCAGAUGUGAAAUCCCCGGGCUCAACCUGGGAACUGCAUUUGAAACUGGCAAGCUUGAGUCUCGUAGAGGGGGGUAGAAUUCCAGGU
rnacentral:rRNA from 1 species